rnacentral:rRNA from 1 species
CCUACGGGAGGCAGCAGUGAGGAAUAUUGGUCAAUGGACGCAAGUCUGAACCAGCCAUGCCGCGUGCAGGAAGACGGCUCGAGGAGUUGUAAACUGCUUUUGUACGAGGGUAAACGCAGAUACGCGGAUCUGUAUGAAAUGAUCGUACGAAUAAGGAUCGGCUAACUCCGGUCCAGAGGCCGCGGUAAUACGGAGGAUUCAAGCGUUAUCCGGAUUUAUUGGGUUUAAAGGGUGCGUAGGCGGUCGGAUAAGUUAGAGGUGAAAUCCCGAGGCUCAACUUCGGAAUUGCCUCUGAUACUGUUCGGCUAGAGAGUAGUGGCGGUAGGCGGAAUGUAUGGUGUAGCGGUGAAAUGCUUAGAGAUCAUACAGAACACCGAUUGCGAAGGCAGCUUACCAAGCUACUUCUGACGUUGAGGCACGAAAGCGUGGGGAGCAAACAGGAUUAGAUACCCGAGUAGUC